CAUAAGAUUGUAGCUUCGCAUGAAGUAGCAAUUAAAGGAGCAAUCCGCUAUGAGAUGGGCCCGCGGCGCAUUAGCUAGUUGGUGAGGUAACGGCUCACCAAGGCGACGAUGCGUAGCCGACCUGAGAGGGUGAUCGGCCACAUUGGGACUGAGACACGGCCCAGACUCCUACGGGAGGCAGCAGUGGGGAAUAUUGCACAAUGGGGGAAACCCUGAUGCAGCAACGCCGCGUGAGUGAUGACGGCCUUCGGGUUGUAAAGCUCUGUCUUCAGGGACGAUAAUGACGGUACCUGAGGAGGAAGCCACGGCUAACUACGUGCCAGCAGCCGCGGUAAUACGUAGGUGGCGAGCGUUGUCCGGAUUUACUGGGCGUAAAGGGAGCGUAGGCGGACUUUUAAGUGAGAUGUGAA
rnacentral:rRNA from 1 species